UACGGGGGGGGGCAAGCGUUGUUCGGAAUUACUGGGCGUAAAGGGCUCGUAGGCGGCCAACUAAGUCGGAUGUGAAAUCCCCAGGCUUAACCUGGGAACUGCAUCCGAUACUGGAUGGCUUGAAUCCGGGAGAGGGAUGCAGAAUUCCAGGUGUAGCGGUGAAAUGCGCAGAUAUCAGGAGGAACACCAAUGGCGAAGGCAGAUCUCUGGGCCGUAACUGACGCUGAGGAGCGAAAGCAUGGGGAGCGAACAGG
rnacentral:rRNA from 1 species